rfam:Ornithorhynchus anatinus chromosome 5, whole genome shotgun sequence.
CGCCUCUCAGGAUCACACCUGAAGAGUUUCCAGAACUCUACCAGUCUCAGCUAUGGGAGGGAGAGUCAAGCAGAUGCCUACCCAUUCCAUUCCUAGCUUGGCUAGUGGCUAGUGAGCGGUAGGUAAUCUGCCACAAGU